UACGUAGGGUGCAAGCGUUGUCCGGAAUUAUUGGGCGUAAAGAGCUCGUAGGCGGUCUGUCGCGUCGGAUGUGAAAACCCAGGGCUCAACCCUGGGCCUGCAUUCGAUACGGGCAGACUAGAGUUCGGUAGGGGAGACUGGAAUUCCUGGUGUAGCGGUGAAAUGCGCAGAUAUCAGGAGGAACACCGGUGGCGAAGGCGGGUCUCUGGGCAGUAACUGACGCUGAGGAGCGAAAGCGUGGGGAGCGAGCAGG
rnacentral:rRNA from 1 species